rnacentral:rRNA from 1 species
AUACGAAGGGGGCUAGCGUUGUUCGGAUUUACUGGGCGUAAAGCGCACGUAGGCGGAUUGAUUAGUUAGGGGUGAAAUCCCGAGGCUCAACCUCGGAACUGCCUCUAAACCUGUCAAUCUCGAGACCGGAAGAGGUGAGUGGAACUCCUAGUGUAGAGGUGGAAUUCGUAGAUAUUAGGAAGAACACCAGUGGCGAAGGCGGCUCACUGGUCCGGUACUGACGCUGAGGUGCGAAAGCGUGGGGAGCGAACAGGAUUAGAAACCCUAGUAGUCC